UCCUUGUCUUGAUGACCUGCAACAGUUGU
rnacentral:piRNA from 1 species